ACGGCAGGUUGACUAGUGGUUAGAGUGUAGGGACGGCAGGUAGCCUAGUGGUUAGAGUGUAGGGACGGCGGGUAGCCUAGUGGUUAGAGUGUAGGGACGGCAGGUAGCCUAGUGGUUAGAGUGUAGGGGCUGAAGGUAGCCUAGUGGUUAGAGUGUAGGGGCGGCAGGUAGCCUAGUGGUUAGAGUGUAGGGACGGCAGGUAGACUAGUGGUUAGAGUGUAGGGACGGCAGGUAGUCUAGUGGUUAGAGUGUAGGGACGGCAGGUAGCCUAGUGGUUAGAGUGUAGGGACGGCAGGUAGCCUAGUGGUUAGAGUGUAGGGACGGCAGGUAGCCUAGUGGUUAGAGUGUAGUGACGGCAGGUAGACUAGUGGUUAGAGUGUAGGGAGGCAGGUAGCCUAGUGGUUAGAGUGUAGGGACGGCAGGUAGCCUAGUGGUUAGAGUGUAGGGACGGCAGGUAGCCUAGUGGUUAGAGUGUAGGGACGGCAGGUAGCCUAGUGGUUAGAGUGUAGGGACGGCAGGUAGCCUAGUGGUUAGAGUGUAGGGACGGCAGGUAGCCUAGUGGUUAGAGUGUAGGGAGGGCAGGUAGCCCAGUGGUUAGAGUGUAGGGACGGCAGGUAGCCUAGUGGUUAGAGUGUUGGGACGGCAGGUAGCCUAGUGGUUAGAGUGUAGGGACGGCAGGUAGCCUAGUGGUUAGAGUGUAGGGACGGCAGGUAGCCUAGUGGUUAGAGUGUAGGGACGGCAGGUAGCCUAGUGGUUAGAGUGUAGGGGCGGCAGGUAGCCUAGUGGUUAGAGUGUAGGGACGGCAGGUAGACUAGUGGUUAGAGUGUAGGGACGGCAGGUAGACUAGUGGUUAGAGUGUAGGGGCGGCAGGUAGCCUAGUGGUUAGAGUGUAGGGACGGUAGGUAGCCUAGUGGUUAGAGUGUAGGGACGGCAGGUAGCCUAGUGGUUAGAGUGUAGGG